rnacentral:rRNA from 1 species
GUGAGGAAUAUUGGACAAUGGGCGCAAGCCUGAUCCAGCCAUGCCGCGUGCAGGAAGACGCAUCUAUGGUGUGUAAACUGCUUUUGUACGGGAAGAAACACUCCCUCGUGAGGGAGCUUGACGGUACCAUAAGAAUAAGGAUCGGCUAACUCCGUGCCAGCAGCCGCGGUAAUACGGAGGAUCCAAGCGUUAUCCGGAAUCAUUGGGUUUAAAGGGUCCGUAGGCGGUUUUAUAAGUCAGUGGUGAAAGCCCAUCGCUCAACGAUGGAACGGCCAUUGAUACUGUUAGACUUGAAUUACAAGGAAGUAACUAGAAUAUGUAGUGUAGCGGUGAAAUGCUUAGAUAUUACAUGGAAUACCAAUUGCGAAGGCAGGUUACUACUUGUGGAUUGACGCUGAUGGACGAAAGCGUGGGGAGCGAACAGGAUUAGAAACCCGAGUAGUCC